rfam:Lupinus angustifolius cultivar Tanjil chromosome LG17, whole genome shotgun sequence.
GGUGAUGAAUUAGAGCUCCUUGAAGUCCAAUGAAGGUUCUUGCUAGGUUGAUUAAGCUGCUAAGCUAUGGAUCCCAUAGUUCUACACAUAAUAUACCUUUGUGGUAGUUCUAUGGCUUCCAUAUCUUGGGAGCUUUAUUACCUAUGAUUAGAUCCUUAUUUGGAUUGAAGGGAGCUCUAAACCUUUCUCCU